rnacentral:rRNA from 1 species
GCCGGAAUUGCUAGUAAUGGCAGGUCAGCAUACUGCCGUGAAUACGUUCCCGGGCCUUGUACACACCGCCCGUCACACCAUGAGAGUUGGGAAUACCCGAAGCCUGUGAGCUAACUAUAUGAGGCAGCAGUCGAAGGUAGAAUCAAUGAUUGGGGUGAAGUCGUAACAAGGUAUC